rnacentral:rRNA from 1 species
UCGCGGCCUAUCAGCUUGUUGGUGAGGUAACGGCUCACCAAGGCAUCGACGGGUAGCUGGUCUGAGAGGAUGAUCAGCCACACUGGGACUGAGACACGGCCCAGACUCCUACGGGAGGCAGCAGUGGGGAAUAUUGCACAAUGGGCGCAAGCCUGAUGCAGCAACGCCGCGUGCGGGAAGACGGCCCUAGGGUUGUAAACCGCUUUCAGCAGGGAAGAAAAUGACGGUACCUGCAGAAGAAGGUGCGGCCAACUACGUGCCAGCAGCCGCGGUGACACGUAGGCACCAAGCGUUGUCCGGAUUUAUUGGGCGUAAAGAGCUCGUAGGCGGUUCAGUAAGUCGGGUGUGAAAACUCUGGGCUCAACCCAGAGAGGCCACCCGAUACUGCUGUGACUUGAGUACGGUAGGGGAGUGGGGAAUUCCUGGUGUAGCGGUGAAAUGCGCAGAUAUCAGGAGGAACACCAGUGGCGAAGGCGCCACUCUGGGCCGAAACUGACGCUGAGGAGCGAAAGCGUGGGUAGCAAACAGGAUUAGAUACCCUGGUAGUCCACGCCGUAAACGUUGGGCACUAGGUGUGGGUCUCAACCAACGAGAUCCGCGCCGUCGCUAACGCAUUAAGUGCCCCGCCUGGGGAGUACGGAAUCUAGAGCAUCGCGAGUCGUGGGAAGG